rnacentral:lncRNA from 1 species
CUUUCCAAUUAUGAUUUUUGAAUAUGGCCCUCACCAACAUCAUCCUUGCUGUUCUCUUUGGGAGAAGGUUUCAUUAUGAAGACCCAACGUUUCUCAGUCUGUUAAGACUCAUAGAUGAAAUUACGCACCUUCUUGGCUCUCUGUUCUUGCAUUUUUUUAAUUUCUACCCAUUCCUUGGAUUUCUCCUCAAACCUCACACCACCAUCUGAUCCCUGGGAGAGACCCUUGUCUGCUGUGCCAUGGGGAGACUUCUGUUCCCUGCGUACCACUCGAUUCUUCCAGGUUAAUGGUGCUUUACCUGCCUCUCCCUGCCUUCCCUGAAGAAGACCCCGUCCUGCUGCCACCACUUCUCAAGAGCGACAUUGCCAGCAGGUGAUGCUUUGG